rnacentral:rRNA from 1 species
ACGCACGCUGGCGGCGUGCCUAACACAUGCCCGUCGAACGGAACUGUUUUGAACGAUUUCUUCGGAAUGAAUUUGAUUUAGUUUAGUGGCGGACGGGUGAGUAACGCGUGAGUAACCUGCCUUCAAGAGGGGAAUAACAUUCUGAAAAGAAUGCUAAUACCGCAUGACAUAUCGGAACCACAUGGUUUUGAUAUCAAAGAUUUUAUCGCUUGAAGAUGGACUCGCGUCCGAUUAGUUAGUUGGUGAGGUAACGGCUCACCAAGACCGCGAUCGGUAGCCGGACUGAGAGGUUGAACGGCCACAUUGGGACUGAGACACGGCCCAGACUCCUACGGGAGGCAGCAGUGGGGGAUAUUGCGCAAUGGGGGCAACCCUGACGCAGCAACGCCGCGUGAAGGAUGAAGGUUUUCGGAUUGUAAACUUCUUUUAUUAAGGACGAAAAAUGACGGUACUUAAUGAAUAAGCUCCGGCUAACUACGUG